GUUAGGUUGGCAGCAUUCUAGUCUUGUUAAGUUGGCCACUCUUACCGACUGUCUUCUGUCUGUCUUUCUGUCUGUUGCGCGUUGCGCGCGCUCUCGGCGCUCUUGUCUUUGUUUAUAUUUUCCUUUAGCUCAAACUUUGUUGUGUAUCUGUGCCUGGUCACAAGAAUAAUAGAUGGAAGUGCAACACAGUUUAAACUCCAGUGAUCUCUUCAACAAGGAAUAAAAAGAGAAACUCGGCCUCCAAUUAUGAUUCCGAAUUCCACUUCUUGUUAAAACUAAGGCGCAUCAGCUACAGAACAUUAUAAUAUGAUUCCUCUGGGCUCUUAUUUGUUCUCAAAGUCUGCAACGCAAUAUAAUGCGAGUGAUCUAGAUGUGGGAUGAAACUUGGACUACGAUUGAGACUCUUGAACUCCAGAUUUCCUUUUUAGUUGCUCGUCUCAGCUACUGCACACUAUUUUUGUUUUGUACUCUGACAUUGUCCACACGUCUGAAAUUUUUGAACAUCUUAAGUGAUCCAUAUUAUUAUGAUUCAAGGGACCAAGAUGUGGGAUGAAACUUGGCCUUCGAUAGAGAUUCUGAACUCCAGAUUUUACUUUUAGUGGCUCGUCACAACUAAUGCUGUUUGUUUUGAACUCUGACGCUGUCCAAGAAUCUACAACUCCAGUACAUCUUCUUCAGUGGGCCAUUUUAAUAUGAUACAAGUGAUGAAGAUGUGGGAUGAAACUUGGACCUGGCUCAGUUCUUAGUAAAUUGAGGCACCUACUGAGUGUUAUGUCUAUUUGUUAUUGACGACACCUUUUACUUUCUUAUUUAAUUACCAUUGGAAAGAGAUUAUGGUUAUUUUUACACUUUUCCUGUCUGCAAGAACAAACGUGUUCAAUUAAUGGUCUAUUUAUGCACGUCAGCAAUUUUCAUUUAUUGGGUGAUUUGUGAAUACUUUUGUUACUUUUUCUGUGCAUUAAAGCAAUAGGGAGAUUGUUUUAUCAUUUUUGUUCUCAAUUUUCUUCAGGUCUCUUCCAAUAGCAUUCCAUUUUAGUGGGUGUUCAUUUCUGAAUCAAUUAGUAUUAUUGGAAAGAGAUCAUGGUUAUUUUUACAUUUUCAGCAAGGACAAUCAAUUUGCAAUAAAAUCACUUCCAGCAUU